UCUCCUCCUCAUACUGUAAGAGAUAUUAUCAAAGUCUCUGUGUGCUUGAAGGAUCAACGGAAAGUGGAACUAUGCGGAGCUCAGAUAUGAACAAGAAAACAUGUAAAUUCUUCAUGAAAAAUCAGUUUUUGAAAACCAGAAUCUAAGCUGGAUUUUGUUGUUGUUUUAAAUUCUAUUUUUUUAGAUGCUCUAAAGACACAAAACAGCUGAAAUAUUAAAGAUGUUUUUCCCAAGCUAUUUUUCACGUACGGCUCAGGGAAAGGAAUACAGUGUUUUCCCACAAGGAGUCGACAAAAUGAAGCUUAAAACACAUUCACAGAUCCUGCAGUUGCUUUUUCUUUGUCUUGGCAGAGCUGAUUAUAAAAGCAUCUUCUCAGACCUCAGUCAGUGGUGUUAUUGGUGGUUCUGUGGUACUGCAGUUUAAACACGAUCUUCAUCUACAAGAUAUUAAUGUUCACUGGAGACAUAAUGAUCGUGAGAUUGUGUGGGACAUAAUUGGAGGAGAAGAUUCAGUACAAGAACAGGACGAGCGCUACCAGAACAGAGUUGAGUCUUUCCCUGAUCAAUACAACUCAGGAAAUGGCUCGAUUAAAAUCAUCAAGCUUCAGUACAGUGAUGCAGGAAUAUACACCUGCUUUAUCACACAACCUAAAUAUGGUAAAGAAGAGACUGUCCAGCUUACUGUCACUGAAUCAGGAGAACAUGAAAACGCAUCCACUCCACCAGAGAACCAGAGUACCAGCACCAGCACCAGAGUAAAAGACACAGGAGAAGAGAAUGCAGGGAAAUCAUCGUUUAACUUUGUGUUAGCUGUAAUAUUCGUUUUAAUUGUUGAGUGUGUUUAAUGAUAAUUUGAUAUAGGUAAAGACUCCAAGCUGCCUCAUUCUCUUCUGUCAUGACUGAAGGAAACCUUACAAUACAGAAACAAACUUUCACUAUUUUACAGUUUUCUCUGGUGCUUGAAAAUCAUGGUGAUUCCCUGACUGCUCUUCAUAGAUAUAAAUUGAUUUGGUCUUCAAAUGCGUCCCAGCAAAGAUCAACGUUUAUCCUUAUUCUCAUUACUUUAUUGAUAUGAUUAUUUGAAUCAGUAUUUAUUAAUUGAAAUGAUUUUGACUAAUGAAUAAAGUUAACACAUUAGAAUGGUUCAGUAUCUUUGUCCCUCUCUUUGUCUGUCAGAACUUUAUUUUCAGGAGUCACCAAAACAGGUCAUAGGUCAUGGAGACCACUUGAAUGGAGCUGCAGGGCCUGAUGACUGGAAACACCUGUUUCUAUUGUUAUUGCUAUGUGUUAAUAAUGUGUAGCGUGACUUGCUAUUUUUAUGUGUUAAUUCUGUUUAAAGUGAUUACUUUUUUAUACUAGAUGGACUUUGUGUAGUAGGAAUAUAGCAACCUGAAUGCUGAUUGUACCAGUUUUGAACAGUUUGAUAAGACAGCUGACAGUACAAAGAAACAACCUCGAGUUUUUGUAACAGAUUGUUCUCUUGCAUCCGAGGGGUCAACUCUAUGGGUCUGGGAUCAGCUCUGAAGAAUCUGUGGGUGACCUGACCCAAGAUCUGUUUCCAUCCUUAUCUGGAUACAAGAUAGGAAACCCUGCAUUGAUGUACCUAUUUAGUAUUGUCUAUCUUUGCUUUAACCAAUCGGAACCUUUUACCCGAGAUGCCACCAUUUCUGGUUUUGUGAAGAGUAUAAUUGCUGUGUUGUUGUACUGUUGUACAUGCAGCGAGCUCUACAUGAGUGUGAAGCCCUUCUGCCAACUGUCUUCUGCAAAUUAUCUUAAGUAGUUUUUCCUCAUUUUUAUUGAUUUAGUUUUAUUGAUUUAUUUUAAACUGUAAAUUGUGAGAUAAAUAAAUUUUAC